rnacentral:rRNA from 1 species
AGAGUUUGAUCAUGGCUCAGGAUGAACGCUGGCGGCGUGCCUAAUACAUGCAAGUCGAGCGGCAGCGCGGUCUUCGGACUGGCGGCGAGCGGCGGACGGCUGAGUAACGCGUAGGAACGUACCCCAAAGUGAGGAAUAACUGCCCGAAAGGGUGGCUAAUGCCGCAUGUGCUCUACGGAGUAAAGCUUUAUGCGCUUUGGGAACGGCCUGCGUAUGAUUAGCUUGUUGGUGAGGUAAUAGCUCACCAAGGCGAUGAUCAUUAGCUGGUCUGAGAGGAUGAUCAGCCAGACUGGGACUGAGAACGGCCCAGACUCCUACGGGAGGCAGCAGUAGGGAAUUUUCCACAAUGGGCGAAAGCCUGAUGGAGCAACGCCGCGUGCAGGAUGAAUGCCUUUGGGUUGUAAACUGCUUUUAUCUGUGACGAUUAUGACGGUAGCAGAUGAAUAAGGACCUGCUAACUACGUGCCAGCAGCCGCGGUAAUAC